AGCUCUUCACUGCUCCGUCUGCAUGCCAUUAUAAAACAAAUCCUCAAUAUUAGAUAAUCUAUUAGCAUGUCAUUGUUCUUAAUAUACUGACUCCCAUUAUUUUAACAUCUCAUUAGUAUCCCAUUUGGCAAACACAGCAAUUGAUAAUAGUGGAUUCAGUAAAACAACUUUUCAACAAUUACAAAGUACUGGUAAGAAAAUAUUAAACAGUGAUAAACUAUAGUUGUCCAUACAUUCGAAUGUCACUGGAAAAAAUAUGAAGAGGCUGAAGGCUAUAGUCAUAGAGAACAGAGUUAUUCCAGUAUGCAGGAAGUUAUUUACAACACAAGGGAGCAAUCAAAAGCAUCAAAAGCUACCUAGCCUAUACAAAGUCAGACAUAAAAUUUGGAAGUCGUUUAAAGGGGGAUGGUUGUGUGGUAUAGAUCUAAGUAGGAAACCUGAAAGGCAGAUUACAAUUCAAAGAAUGGUGGGUCCAUGCAUCCCUUAUCUCCCUCAAUUCCAUACCUGUCAUCACAAUAGAAGUAAGAAGAUUGUACAAGAAUCAGUGGUAAAUAAGGUAAAGGACUAACUACUUACUUGGACGUGUAAUCUGAGUCAGGGACCUAAAACUCUCUUUAAACACCAAAAAGUAGAACCAUCCCAGUUUCAGAAUAAUGCGGCUGAAAAUAGUAUAAACAAAGGAAGAAAGGUUGAAAUUUUGAAGGAGGAGAUAAGACCAUGGAGUUUGUUAUUUGAGUUAACUGAAGCAAAACACUCACUUUUGGGAGCUGUUAGUACUCAUGGAGCUGACAGGCAAAGAGUUGAUGAUUCCAAGGACAAGAAGCACGAAUUGAUGAUCAUGGAAGCUCAAAUGGAG
rnacentral:lncRNA from 1 species